AAACUUAAAGGAAUUGACGGGGGGCCCGCACAAGCGGCGGAGCAUGCGGAUUAAUUCGAUGCAACGCGAAGAACCUUACCAAGGCUUGACAUAUACCUGAAAAGGCUGGAAACAGUCUCCCCNCAAGGCAGGUAUACAGGUGGUGCAUGGUUGUCGUCAGCUCGUGUCGUGAGAUGUUGGGUCAAGUCCCGCAACGAGCGCAACCCUCGUUCUAUGUUGCCAGCACGUAAUGGUGGGAACUCAUAGGAGACUGCCGGGGUCAACUCGGAGGAAGGUGGGGAUGACGUCAAGUCAUCAUGCCCCUUAUGUCUUGGGCUUCACGCAUGCUACAAUGGCCGGUACAAAGGGCUGCAAUACCGUAAGGUGGAGCGAAUCCCAAAAAGCCGGUCUCAGUUCGGAUUGAGGUCUGCAACUCGACCUCAUGAAGUCGGAGUCGCUAGUAAUCGCAGAUCAGCAACGCUGCGGUGNNUNNGUUCCCGGGCCUUGUACACACCGCCCGUCAAGUCAUGAAAGUCGGUAACACCCGAAGCCAGUGGCCCAACCGCAAGGAGGGAGCUGUCGAAGGUGGGAUCGGUGAUUAGGACUAAGUCGUAACAA
rnacentral:rRNA from 1 species